rnacentral:rRNA from 1 species
CAGCAGCCGCGGUAAUACGAAGGGGGCUAGCGUUGUUCGGAUUUACUGGGCGUAAAGCGCACGUAGGCGGACUUUUAAGUCAGGGGUGAGAUCCCGGGGCUCAACCCCGGAACUGCCUUUGAUACUGGACAUCUUGAGUGUGGGAGAGGUAAGCGGAACUCCGAGUGUAGAGGUGAAAUUCGUAGAUAUUCGGAAGAACACCAGUGGCGAAGGCGGCUUACUGGCCCAUUACUGACGCUGAGGCUCGAAAGCGUGGGGAGCAAACAGGAUUAGAUACCCCCGUAGUCCCUGUCUCUUAUAC